UACGUAGGGAGCAAGCGUUGUCCGGAAUCAUUGGGCGUAAAGCGCGCGUAGGCGGCCCUGUAAGUCCGUUGUGAAAGUCAAAGGCUCAACCUUUGAAAGCCGAUGGAUACUGCAGGGCUAGAGUCCGGAAGAGGCGAGUGGAAUUCCUGGUGUAGCGGUGGAAUGCGCAGAUAUCAGGAGGAACACCAAUGGCGAAGGCAGCUCGCUGGGACGGUACUGACGCUGAGGCGCGAAAGCGUGGGGAGCAAACAGG
rnacentral:rRNA from 1 species